GGCGGUAUGCUUAACACAUGCAAGUCGGACGGUAACGGGCCUUCGGGCGCCGACGAGUGGCGGACGGGUGAGUAACGCGUAGGAACCUGCCCCGUAGUGGGGGACAACUUAUGGAAACGUAAGCUAAUACCGCAUACGCCCCCUUCCCGGGAGGGGAGGGGGGAAAGCGGGGGACCUUCGGGCCUCGCGCUAUGGGAUGGGCCUGCGUUGGAUUAGCUGGUUGGCGGGGUAAAGGCCCACCAAGGCGACGAUCCAUAGCUGGUCUGAGAGGACGACCAGCCACACUGGGACUGAGACACGGCCCAGACUCCUACGGGAGGCAGCAGUGGGGAAUAUUGGACAAUGGGCGGAAGCCUGAUCCAGCAAUACCGCGUGUGUGAAGAAGGCCUGAGGGUUGUAAAGCACUUUCAAUGGGGAGGAAAAAGCGCAGGCGAAUACCCUGCGUAUUGACAUUACCCAUAGAAGAAGCACCGGCUAACUCCGUGCCAGCAGCCGCGGUAAUACGGAGGGUGCGAGCGUUAAUCGGAAUUACUGGGCGUAAAGCGUGCGUAGGCGGCUUGCCAAGUCAGAUGUGAAAGCCCUGGGCUCAACCUGGGAACGGCAUUUGAAACUGGCGGGCUAGAGUUAGGUAGAGGGGGGCGGAAUUCCGGGUGUAGCGGUGAAAUGCGUAGAUAUCCGGAGGAACACCAGUGGCGAAGGCGGCCCCCUGGACCCAAACUGACGCUGGGGCACGAAAGCGUGGG
rnacentral:rRNA from 1 species